GUCCUUAGGUCCCAGGCAAUGGCUUCCUGAGAUAAGCCGUGUGACAAGUUUCUGUAAUAAGGAAGCUCUCUGCAGUGAGCCGACCAACGUGCAGCGGCCUCAGUGCCCUGCAGAGCGUCCCCGGCGAGGCGGGAGGAGCUGGGGGCUGAGACGUUAGCCAGGCAGUUUGAUGAGCAGAGAACUAACGGAUGUGAGCUGUGCUAACCCCGAGGGGAACUCCAUCCACAUCUGUGCCUUCUGUAUCUCCCAGCAUGGCAGACACUUGGGCAAUACCCACAUGGUGCUCCCCAUUGGAUGGCCAUCCAUCCCACCCACUGACCUACCGCAGGGCAACCAGUUUGCAGGUGAGGCCCAGAGGAGCCUGGGCCGAGCUCUGUGGCAGGCUUGCCUGGGAGUGGCCUGCGAGUAUGUCCCUGACACGCCAGCUCAGCUGACUCCUUGCUAAGAAGAGACAGCUUUCUGUGGGAGCCGAUGCCUUUCAGUCAUUCUAGUGAGCAGUCUGGACUGAAGAGCUCUGCCCUAAGCCUCUGCUCCUGGAAGUGAGGUCCCCACACCAGCAGCACAGGCAUCUCCUGGGAGGCUGUUCAAAGUGCAGAGUUUCAGGCCCUGCCCCAGACCUACCUGGCAACUCUGGGACCCCACUCCCAGGUUUCAGGCUAUGUAAUCUUGGGUAAGUUUCUUAACCAAUCUGUGUGUGACCUCAGUUUUCUCAUCUGUAAAGUGAGAUGAUGGUGGUACCUGUCACCUUGUGCUG